rnacentral:rRNA from 1 species
UCGAGAAAACUUUACAAUGCUGGCGACAGCGAUAAGGGAACCUCGAGUGCCAGGUUACAAAUCUGGCUGUCGAGACGCCUAAAAAGCAUUUCAUAGCAAGGGCCGGGCAAGACCGGUGCCAGCCGCCGCGGUAACACCGGCGGCUCGAGUGGUAACCGUUAUUAUUGGGUCUAAAGGGUCUGUAGCCGGCCGGAUAAGUCUCUUGAGAAAUCUGGCAGCUUAACUGUCAGGCUUUCAGGAGAUACUGUCUGGCUCGAGACCGGGAGAGGCGAGAGGUACUUCAGGGGUAGGGGUGAAACCUUGUAAUCCUUGAAGGACCACCAGUGGCGAAGGCGUCUCACCAGAACGGACCUGACGGCAAGGGACGAAAGCUAGGGGCACGAACCG